AGAGUACGCGCCGCUAGAGGUUGCCAACUUAAGUACGGCACGAAGAGGGAAGUCAGUGAGAGUCUGACGCUGCCCCCGCAACGGUAUUUAAAGUAAAGCUUUGUCAUAACGCCACUGUGGGUAUCCAUGGGAAGGCGACAAAGUGAGUCGUAGCUGCUUUAUCAGUCCGGAGACCUGCCUUUAGACCUAGGGGGCU
rnacentral:ncRNA from 1 species